rnacentral:rRNA from 1 species
UACGGGGGGAGCAAGCGUUGUUCGGAUUUACUGGGCGUAAAGGGCGCGUAGGCGGCCAGCGCAAGUCAGUUGUGAAAUCUCCGGGCUUAACUCGGAACGGUCAACUGAUACUGCGCGGCUAGAGUGCAGAAGGGGCAACUGGAAUUCUCGGUGUAGCGGUGAAAUGCGUAGAUAUCGAGAGGAACACCUGCGGCGAAGGCGGGUUGCUGGGCUGACACUGACGCUGAUGCGCGAAAGCCAGGGGGGCGAACGGG